rnacentral:rRNA from 1 species
GACGAACGCUGGCGGCGUGCUUAACACAUGCAAGUCGAGCGGUAAGGCCCUUUCGGGGGUACACGAGCGGCGAACGGGUGAGUAACACGUGGGUGACCUGCCUUCGAGUGGGGGAUAACGUCCCGAAAGGGACGCUAAUACCGCAUGACAUCCUGCCCUUGGAAGGGCGGAGAUCAAAGCCGGGGAUCGCAAGACCUGGCGCUUGAAGAGGGGCCCGCGCCUGAUUAGCUAGUUGGUAGGGUAACGGCUACCAAGGCCACGAUCAGUAUCCGGCCUGAGAGGGCGGACGGACACACUGGGACUGAGACACGGCCCAGACUCCUACGGGAGGCAGGCAGUGGGGAAUUGUUCGCAAUGGGCGCAAGCCUGACGACGCAACGCCGCGUGGAGGACGAAGAUCUUCGGGUCGUAAACUCCUGUCGAGUGGGAAGAAUGGAUCGGGGAUGAAUAAUCUCCGGUAUUGACGGUACCACUAAAGGAAG